rnacentral:misc_RNA from 1 species
GCAAACUUGGUCAUUUAGAGGAAGUAAAAGUCAUAACAAGGUUUCCGUAGGUGAACCUGCGGAAGGAUCAUUUGAGAUUAUGGGGGCUUCAAAGCCUCGGCCAAGGUCUUUGAAGCUCUGGGGGAGCCGCUUGCGGCUUCGGCAGUGUGAGGAUAAGCAGCUCUGGCUAUCGGUUGGCAGUGUGAGGAUAAGCAGCUCUGGCCCCGAUCCCUUAACCAUAACCAUUGUGAACUGUGGCUCCGGCCCAAACUCUUUGUAAUGGAUGUGAAAACCGUAACAGAAAACAACUUUCAACAACGGAUCUCUUGGCUCUCGCAUCGAUGAAGAACGCAGC